rnacentral:rRNA from 1 species
GAUCAUGGCUCAGGAUGAACGCUAGCGGCAGGCUUAACACAUGCAAGUCGAGGGGCAGCGCGGGGCGGCAACGUCCUGGCGGCGACCGGCGGAAGGGUGCGUAACGCGUGAGCGACAUGCCCGUUGCCCGGGGACAACCGGUGGAAACGCCGACUAAUCCCCGAUGGGACGGAGGCCCUCAUGGGUCUCUGUUGAAAGUUACGGCGGCGACGGAUUGGCUCGCGUCCGAUUAGCUUGUUGCGGGGUAACGCC